CUUUCCGGCCGGACUGCCGCGCCUGUGGCCGGAAGAGCCAGCUAGACCAGAGAGUCUGUACCUGCAACCCUGGCGGCGUCCGAGCCCAAGGCGGAGUCUGGGAGACAAAGAAGUCCUCGCCGCCGGCCGCUGGAGGAUUCUGCCAGUAGUGAAAGAUGGGGUCUCGUUAUGUUGACCAGGCUGGUCUUGAACACCUGACCUGAAGUGAUCCUCUUGCCUCAGCCUCCCAUAGUGCUGCGAUCACAGGUGUGCAUGCCUUCCUUAUUUCUCAUACUCAUCACCUCCUCUUCCCGCUUGGAACUGCCCACACUGGUGAUUUCCUUGUUAAGGAACUUGAUGGCGUUGUGCAUGCUCGCUGACAGGGGACGGCACUGAGUCAGGAAGCUAUAAUACAACAGCAAUACCUUAUAUCUGCGCAACUCUUCACAACUUACAAAGCCUUCACAUUUAAAAAAAAAGUCUUUAAAAAGAAAAUAGAACACAAAAUGAAAAGAGAGAUAGAAAAGCAGGAAAAAGAGUACAAGACAAAGAUUGGGCGAGCUGGGAGUGGACUUAUAGUGUUGUCCCUACCUCAUGUAGGGUUUUAGUUUAUUCACUAGAUCCCUGGAGAGUUCUUCAUUAGGCGGUGUUGUGUAAUCCUGAAUCACCUAUAGGGUACACAAGGUGAUCUGCAAAAUACCCCUUAAUAAAGAUCUCUGAACGGG
rnacentral:lncRNA from 1 species